AGUGAACGCUGGCGGUAGGCCUAACACAUGCAAGUCGAACGGCAGCACAGUAAGAGCUUGCUCUUACGGGUGGCGAGUGGCGGACGGGUGAGGAAUACAUCGGAAUCUACUUUUUCGUGGGGGAUAACGUAGGGAAACUUACGUUAAUACCGCAUACGACCUACGGGUGAAAGCAGGGGAUCUUCGGACCUUGCGCGAUUGAAUGAGCCGAUGUCGGAUUAGCUAGUUGGCGGGGUAAAGGCCCACCAAGGCGACGAUCCGUAGCUGGUCUGAGAGGAUGAUCAGCCACACUGGAACUGAGACACGGUCCAGACUCCUACGGGAGGCAGCAGUGGGGAAUAUUGGACAAUGGGCGCAAGCCUGAUCCAGCCAUACCGCGUGGGUGAAGAAGGCCUUCGGGUUGUAAAGCCCUUUUGUUAGGAAAGAAAAGCAGCAGGUUAAUACCCCGCUGUUCUGACGGUACCCAAAGAAUAAGCACCGGCUAACUUCGUG
rnacentral:rRNA from 1 species